rnacentral:lncRNA from 1 species
GCGGGGUUUCACCAUGUUAGCCAGGAUGGUGUCCAUCUCUUGACCUCGUGAUCCGCCUGCCUGCGCCUCCCAAAGAGCUGGGAUUACAGGCCUGAGCCACCGCGCCCGGCCGUACAGUUUGUAUUCUAACACCAACUCAUAAGGGAAUAAACCAGGGUUACAAGUGUUGCUGCCUCACCAUGGACAUCCCACAGGACAAUCCACUGAACAAAUAACCCUUUUGUGUAGAUCCAGGAUACUUUUCACUUCCUAAACAUAAAUCCCACCACAUCUGUUCAACCAGCUCUGCUCCAGGAUAAAAAAAUAUAUAUUGAUGAAUUUCCAGCCUUGUUUCAUAUUCUGUU